rnacentral:rRNA from 1 species
CCUACGGGAGGCAGCAGUGGGGAAUAUUGCACAAUGGGGGAAACCCUGAUGCAGCGACGCCGCGUGGGUGACGAAGUAUUUCGGUAUGUAAAGCCCUAUCAGAAGGGAAGAAGAGGACAGUACCUGACCAAGAAGCCCCGGCUAACAAAGUGCCGGCAGCCGCGGUAAAACGUAGGGGGCAAGCGUUAUCCGGGUUUACUGGGUGUAAAGGGAGCGUAGGUGGCAUGGCAAGCAAGAAGUGAAAACCCGGGGCUUAACCCCGCGGAUUGCUUUUGGAACUGUCAGGCUGGAGUGCAGGAGGGGCAUGCGGAAUUCCUGGUGUAGCGGUGAAAUGCGUAGAUAUCAGGAGGAACACCGGUGGCGAAGGCGGCCUGCUGGACUCUAACUGACACUGAGGCUCGAAAGCGUGGGGAGCAAACAGGAUUAGAUACCCUGGUAGUC